UUGAGACGGAACUUCCAAAACUGAAAGAGAUAAAUGGCAGCUAACAAAGCUCUCAGUCUUCCGUUAAUUCUAACGGCGUUAACUCUACACUUGACGAUCAUCGCCGGCGAGUAUUUCACGCCGUUCAAUGUCACUUACGAUCACCGUGCACUUAUCAUCGGCGGUAAACGCCGUAUUCUUAUCUCCGCCGGAAUUCACUAUCCUCGCGCCACUCCUGAGAUGUGGCCUAAAUUAAUAGCUAGGAGCAAAGAAGGCGGUGCAGAUGUCAUUGAGACUUAUACAUUUUGGAAUGGUCAUGAGCCAACGAGAGGACAGUAUAACUUUGAAGGAAGAUAUGAUAUUGUCAAGUUCGCAAAGCUAGUUGGAUCUCAUGGAUUGUAUCUCUUUAUUCGAAUAGGCCCUUAUGCUUGUGCAGAAUGGAACUUCGGGGGCUUCCCCGUAUGGCUUCGUGAUAUACCUGGAAUAGAAUUUCGAACGGAUAAUGUUCCAUUCAAGGAGGAGAUGGAGCGCUAUGUUAAAAAGAUAGUUGAUCUUAUGAUAGCUGAGUCACUCUUCUCGUGGCAAGGUGGUCCUAUCAUUUUGUUGCAGAUUGAAAAUGAAUAUGGAAAUAUUGAAAGCUCAUUUGGUCCCAAGGGGAAGAUAUAUAUGAAAUGGGCUGCUGAAAUGGCUGUAGGUCUUGGUGCUGGUGUUCCAUGGGUCAUGUGCAGGCAAACUGAUGCUCCAGAAUACAUCAUAGAUACUUGCAAUGCAUACUAUUGUGAUGCCUACACGCCAAAUUCUGGGAAGAAACCAAAAAUCUGGACCGAGAAUUGGGAUGGAUGGUAUGCGGAUUGGGGUGAAAGACUCCCACAUAGACCUUCUGAAGAUAUUGCAUUUGCAAUUGCUCGUUUCUUUCAGCGUGGAGGCAGCUUACAGAACUAUUAUAUGUAUUUUGGUGGGACAAAUUUUGGCCGGACUGCUGGAGGCCCAGCUCAAAUCACUAGCUAUGAUUAUGAUGCUCCGCUUGAUGAAUAUGGACUACUACGUCAACCUAAAUGGGGCCAUUUGAAGGAUCUGCAUGCUGCUAUAAAGCUUUGUGAACCUGCUCUGGUUGCUGCUGAUUCACCUCAGUAUAUUAAACUGGGACCAAAACAAGAGGCACAUGUCUAUCGUGGAGCAUCCAGCAACAAUGGCCAAGAUAUGUCCUUGAAUGAAGGCAUAUGCGCAGCAUUUAUUGCAAACAUUGAUGAACAUGAAUCAGCAACAGUGAAAUUUUACGGUCAAGAGUAUACUCUACCUCCAUGGUCUGUGAGUAUUCUGCCAGAUUGCAGAAACACCGCUUUCAACACAGCUAAGGUGGCCACACAAACUUCAAUCAAAACAGUGGGCUCUGAUUCUGUUUCAGUUGGGAAUAAUUCUUUGAUUCCACAAUUAAUCAUUAAAAGCAAGCUCGAAAGUAUUUCACAAUCUUGGAUGAGAUUGAAGGAGCCACUUGGUGUGUGGGGUGACAAUAAUUUCACUUCUAAAGGGAUACUGGAGCAUCUGAAUGUGACAAAAGACCAGUCUGAUUACCUGUGGUAUCUGACCAGGAUAUAUAUAUCUGAUGAUGACAUCUCAUUUUGGAAGGAAAAUGAUGUUAGUCCAACGAUUGAUAUUGAUAGCAUGCGUGAUUUUGUUCGCAUUUUUGUUAAUGGGCAGCUUGCAGGUAGUGUGAAAGGCAAAUGGAUCAAGGUGGUUCAACCUGUUAAGCUGGUUCAGGGAUACAACGACAUACUUCUGUUAUCUGAGACGGUGGGAUUGCAGAAUUAUGGAGCCUUCUUAGAGAAGGAUGGGGCAGGCUUUAAAGGUCAGAUGAAGCUUACAGGAUGCAAAAAUGGGGAUAUUAAUCUCACAACUUCCUUAUGGACCUACCAGGUGGGGCUUAAAGGCGAAUUCCUGAAAGUAUACGAUGUCAAUAGUACUGAAAGUGCAGGAUGGACUGAGUUGUCCAAUGAUGCAAUUCCGACAGUCUUUUCGUGGUACAAGACAACAUUUGAUGCCCCAGGCGGGACAGAUCCCGUUGCCCUGGAUUUUAGUAGCAUGGGAAAAGGUCAGGCAUGGGUUAAUGGUCACCAUAUAGGAAGAUAUUGGACUUUGGUUGCUCCAGAUAAUGGAUGUGGAAGAACUUGUGAUUAUCGUGGUACUUACAACUCUGAUAAAUGUAGGACAAAUUGUGGAGAGAUUACUCAGGCGUGGUACCACAUACCUAGAUCAUGGCUAAAUACAUCUAAUAAUGUACUAGUGAUCUUUGAAGAAACAGAUAGGACUCCAUUUGAGAUUUCCAUUUCUACACGUUCUACUGAAACCAUAUGUGCCCAAGUAUCGGAAAAGCACUAUCCGCCUCUACAUACGUGGUCUCACUCAGAGUUCGACGGGAAAAUUUCUCUGACGGAUAAAACGCCAGAAAUGCACUUGCAAUGUGACAAAGGGCAUACAAUCUCAUCUAUCGAAUUUGCAAGCUAUGGAACUCCAAAUGGCAGCUGUCGAACAUUUUCUCAAGGCAAAUGUCAUGCUGCAAAUUCCUUGUCUGUUGUGUCUCAGGCUUGUGAGGGAAGAAACAGUUGCAGCAUUGGCAUUUCCAAUGCCGUAUUUGGAGAUCCAUGUCGACACAUUGUGAAGAGUUUGGCUGUUCAGGCAAAAUGCUUGCCACCACCGGAUGUCAGCACUUUAGCUUCCUCAUGACAACGAUCUGGUGUCACAAAUCUUUGCUUCCUCCUGCGCCUGACUCUGGAUGUCGAAAAAUAUAAGCUAUCAAAACAUAUUGAAGCUAUGGGAGGAGUCGGAGACUCGUGCUCGCGAACACCUACGGUAACAAAUUGUUGUCGUUUAGGAUUAUAGAUGAAAAGUUGAUGACAUGACACUCCUUGAAAGACAACUUCACCAUCUUUGGUGCAACAUAAAAGCUUCAUGUCUUGUACUCCUUGACAAAUAGUAGGUGUAAACAUUGCAAAUCCACCGAUAUGAGUUCUGUUGCAAUGGUGAGACUGCUCCACCCUUAACUAGAAGUCUCGGAAUCGAGCCGUGGGUAUGGAGAAAAACGUCACCUCUAAAAUGGGGUCUACAAUGUGGGAUCCGAAUUAGUCGGAGCUCCAAUACGGAUACCGAACACCGGAUGCGAAACCCAAAAGAAACAUGGCAAUCCAAUAAACUUUGUUAUUUAGAUUUUGCUUCUACAUUCUCUAAUUUUCUCUUUUUCAUGGUCCUCCUAUUUGGAUGUGGAAUCACGAUUUCCACUUUAUAGGAUCUGAAUUUUAGAACAACUCCUCUGAAUGGUAAUAACCGGGUCUUAGAUUUGAUAUUUUUACAUAUCUAAUGAAUUUCUACACAAAACUAUAUUGUUUUAGCAAAAACUAUUGAAUUCUGCCGAACAUGUAUUAGGCUUCUA